CCUACGGGGGGCAGCAGUGGGGGAUAUUGCACAAUGGGGGGAACCCUGAUGCAGCGACGCCGCGUGGGUGAAGGAGGGCUUCGGCGCGUAAAGCCCUAUCGGCAGGGAAGAAGGAGGACGGUACCUGACUAAGAAGCACCGGCUAAACACGUGCCAGAAGCCGCGGGAAAACGUAGGGGGGAAGCGUUGUCCGGAUUUACGGGGGGGAAAGGGGGCGCAGGCUGCAGCGGAAGCCAGGAGGGAAAGCCCGGGGCCCAACCCCGGGACUGCUCUUGGGACUGGGCGGCUGGAGUGAAGGAGGGGCAGGCGGAAUUCCUGGUGUAGCGGUGAAAUGCGUAGAUAUAAGGAGGAACACCGGUGGCGAAGGCGGCCUGCUGGAUUGAGACUGACGUUGAGGCCCGAAAGCGUGGGGAGCAAACAGGAUUAGAUACCCCUGUAGUC
rnacentral:rRNA from 1 species